CAACACCACCUGAUCAGUUGGUAUACGCUGAUGAUUUCCCCCACUGAGGCCGAGAUGAUAUGAUAGGAUGCCCUCAGAAGCUUGAUAACGUUAUGUACGCAUAUACCUAUGCAUGAUAUGAUAUUUAUACGCAUAUGCAUGACAUUAUAAAUAUUUUAGGAUUCACAAAGUUAUUUACGCUUACAGGCAGAUUCCUUUACUCCAUACUUCUUUUAUGUCUUCUAUGUACUGAGUUACAUGCCUUACAUACUCGGUACAUUAUUCAUACUGAUGCCCCUAUUUUUUGGGACCUGCGUUUCAUGCCUGCAGGUGCAGGUAGACAGGUUGACGGUCCCCCUUCUUAGGAUCCUUGCUCAACGAGAGUUGAUGUGCUCCAUUUGAUUAGGAGUUGCUUUUGGGUUUUGGUACGAUAUUUUUGUAUACAUAUAUGGGUAUGACAGGGGCCCGUCUUGUUCCUUAUACAGAUGUACACUCUAUUAGAGGUCUGUAGAUAGUCAUGUAUAGUCGGAUAGUAUGUGGCCUUGUCGCCUCGCCCUACCGUAUUUUGUAUAUAUAUGUACAUAUGUCUUUUGGGCACGUUUUAUCGCGUAUGUUGUUCACACAAUUCAGUAGUUUACUGCCAGACAUUAUUCAUUUCCUACACUUAUUUCAUGUGUUAUCUUAGAUGUAUGCUUAGGGGUGUUCGACAGGUAGGCUCGGGCACUCGUCAUGGACCAUCGGUUUGGGUCGUGAUAGUAUCCUGUUGGGAUCCAUUGUGGUCAUUACUGCUAUUUAGUUAUCUGCUUAUAUUGCAAUUUCAUAUCUCAGUCUCUGUUGUUAUUAUCAUUUUUGGGCUAGUUUCAUGACAUUAUGAGCCUGAGAGACUGGAGAGAUUGAUGACUGAGUGAGGUUGAGGGCCUGAUUUUGAGUUAUUGAUACUAUAGAACGUGAGUUGUCCGUGUAGCACGUGAGUUAUCCAUGCAGAUCCAGAUAUUGAUACUAUAGUAUGUGAGUUGUCCGUGCAGCACGUGAGUUGUCCAUGUGGAUACGAAUACUAAUACUAUAGCAUGUGAGUUGUCCGUACAGCACAUGAUUUAUCCGUGCGGAUUAUAGCGCUUGGGCUAAAGGAGCCUCUCCGGAGUCUGCACACACCCCCAGUGAGCGCAGGUACCUACUGAGUGCCAAUGCCGAGUGAUUGGCAGGACUAAGUGACCGUGAGGACUGAGUGAAUGGGAGGACUGAGUGACUGGGAGGACUGAGCGAAAUGAUACUCUGAGAGUAUGCAUAUGGUUUUAUUAUUGAGUUGCAUCGCAUUGACAUGCACACUUGACAUACAGUCAUAAAGAUAUAUUUUCCUCAUGCUAUAUGAUAUUGCGACAUUCAUGACUUCACAUGCACAUUGACAUGUAGGCAUAGAGAUAUACUUUUCCUCAUGCCAUUUGAUAAUGGGACGUUUACCUGUUGAACAGGUUUGGAAGGAAAAAUCACGAUUUUGCAAACUUACUCAUAUUUUGGUGUUUUCGGUAAAGGAUUUGGAUUUUCACUUUUAUACUUGAAAAGCAUGUCUAUUUUCUGGAACUGUGAACGAGCUGAACAUUUUAUUUCUAAGUUAUUUCCUCUACCACUUUUGUUAUAUUGCUAUGAGCUAUUGUUGGACUUGACCGUGUUCCAGCUCGUCACUACUUUCAACCUAAGGUUAUGUUUGUUACUUAUUGAGUACAUGGGGUCGGUUGUACCCAUACUACACUCCUGCACCUUGCAUGCAGAUUUUUGAUGUUGAUGUUGCUGCGUGCGGCGGGAGCUGGAUCUGAAGAAGUACCUAUGUUCCAGCCAUUUACUGCCUCUUGUUCUUGGUAGCUUUAGAAUUUUUAAUCUGUUUAUGUAUAUUUCAGACAGAUGACGUAUUUUUAUUUCACACGAGUUUUGUAAUUUCUAAUCUUAGAAGCUUAUGAUUUGUACUACCAAUCCUUGGGGAGUGUAUUAGAGUCAACUAAAUAUUAAUUGAAUUGGAUAGUUGUUAGUUAGCUUACCUGACGGGUUAGGUUAGGUACCAUCAUGACUAGGUGGAUUUUGGGUCGUGACAAGGUGGUAUCAGAGCCCUAGGUUCAUAGGUUCUACAAGUCAUGAGCUAGUGUUUAACAGAGUCUUGCGGAUCAGUAUGAUGAUGUCCAUACUUAUCUUCGAGAGGCUGCAUGGCAUUUAGGAUAAUUUUCCAUCUUUCUUUCCUUAUCGUGCGGAAUUGAUUAAGCUUGAAACAUAACUGUUUGAAUUCCUUCCACGCAUUCGUGUGGGCAUGUGAGUGCUCGGUAUCAACUGUGCAUCGCCGUCUUGUGAUUCCAUGAACGGGGUUCGAAAUGUGUAUUCUGUGUUUUGGUGAUGGGCUAGUCUGGAGGAUUUGAGGCCCGGUUUAGAACGCAGCUUAGGCUCGGUAGCUUCAGUUGUAACUUGUACAUUUGGACUCAUAUGUCCGGUAGUGUCCCUCUGAGUGGAACUUAUGGCUCGAUGAGCGAUCAAAUGGCUAUAUGAUAAGUAUGAUGUGAUUGCGAGAUGUGUUAAGAUGGUUUGGAUAUGACGAGAAGUGUUUUCUUGGAAUGUAAAGAGGGCCAUUGGGUGCUUGAUUUUCGUUUGAUGUGAUGUGCGGUCUCGAAUUGUGAGUAUGUUGAAGGAUCUAUCAUGCAGUUUAAUUGUGGAUCUAAUUAGAUUUUCAUGUUAUGUUGAUGAGUUCAGACUCAGAAAGAUUUAGUUAUUGCAUAGAAAUUGUGGCUGCGAAAGGGUAUAACAAGAUGCCAAUUUGAGGCUAAACAGGUGGGUUAUCUCCUGCGGAGUAAUCUACGUAAGUGUGUUCCUUAUAAUGUUGAGUGGAGAGUUUCUUAUCUACCAGCGGGGUGUAUGUGUUGAGAUUUGAAUUUGAAUCCGGUUGAGAAAGUUGACUUGACUGUCAAGAGAAUAAAUGUAAGUUUAGUGGAUGAUUAAGGUAUCUUAUGAUUGGUGUUGCAUGAGCUUAAGAAUAAUUUCCAUUGAAUUGACUGCGGUAUUAUGACAGUAAUAGAGUAUGGGUAUUGUGAGUUAUGGAAUGUUUUGUUUUAUGGCUUUGUGACGAGCGCAAAACACACACUUAAAUUGUGCUCUCUAGUCAAAGAUAGUAUAGAAAAAUUAUCGUAUCCACAGGGAUUGAAUUAAAAUAAUAUUAUCGUAGUUUGUAGCUAGAUUGCUAUUCAGGAGGAUCAACAGUUGAGGUUUAUAUAAUAAAUAAUCUAAAAUCUACAGCUAUUGACUAAUGACAAUCGCAACAAAGGUAAACAAGAGAGUUAUUAAUGGGAGAAAAUAUGGGUUGAUAAGAUAGGUGCAAGAUAAUUGUUCAGGAUCUAACUCUAGAUAAUUGACUUCUAAUGUUCAAGUGAGUUUCUCGAAUUCAAUUAAUUAUCAGUAUAAUUGUUUAGUAGAAACUNNNNNNNNNNNNNNNNNNNNNNNNNAAAUGGAUUGGUCUUUAGGAGAACCUCUUUCGAUUAUCCUCCUAACUAGGUUUAAUCAAGAAUUCAACUAGCCUCUUUCGAUUACUUCGAAGAAUCUAUGAACUCAACCAAAAAUAUAGUGCAAAUAUAUCACAAGUUAUGCCUAUCUCGAUUACAAGAACAAGUGAACAUAGAUGCAAAAAUUUAAUCUUCCCAAAACAAUUUAAAUACAUGAAAAUAGAGUUAUAAUCUACAAACAACCAUCAAUACACCAAAUCCAUCAAAACCCAAAUGGUUCUACUCCAUAGACUUGGAGAAGUUCUUCACAAAUGAAAUAAAAGUAUAGGAAAACAUAAAUGCAAUCCAAACUCGGAUCUUGAGUGAGGAAGGAAGGAUGAAAUCCUUGUGCUCUUGAUUCUCCCUCUUCUCCUUAGUUUCCUUAGGUCUAAGGUAUGUCAAAAGUCGAGAAAUGGUGUCUUUCCCGUGUAUUUAACUAUCCCCUAAAUAAACCCCGGACGAAAAUACCCCUUUUUAGCGGAAUUGGGAACAUACUCUAACAUUUUUUCACUACCGCAUCGCAUGUCGCGCCGCCCCAUGCGGCGAGCUUGUGGAUAAUUCCAGAACAAUUUGGAAAACACAUUUUGGGCACAUUUUGCACAGUCGCGCCGCCCCAUGCGGUGCGGCUGUGUAGUUUUCUCAGAGUAAGUUCGUUUCUCUAAUUUUUGACAUCCGGACUUCGUACUCGACCCCCAAACGCGAUCCCGGUUUAAUCCCUUUGGCUUAUACUCAGACUUCAAAGCUCCAAAUAGUUCGAAUUUACUCCGCAACAUCUAAAUAACCCGGAAUCAUUCCUACACGGCAUAAAACACAUAAUAAGUAUAAAACACUACUAAUUAAAGCUCAGCAUAAGUAAAGUGCAGUGAAUUUGAGUGCAAUAAUCGACUAAAACAUGAGUUUCUGGCCUACCAUCAACACCCCACACUUAAACCAUUACUUGUCCUCGAGCAAUCAAACUACACUUCACAUAGACAUGACCUUUUUUAAACAACUCUCCUGACUCAUCAUACCAAGAAUAAUAGAACAGAUUAAGCACAAUAACGUAACAUCCUCGCCUCAAGAUUUAACUCAAAAGCACCACGCAUGUUUUCACAACUCGCUCACUUACUCUAACACAAAGGUCAAUGACAAUACCUUUCUUUCAUGAAUCAAGUGCCCUUACCCAACAAUAGAAAGUAGUUCCACACACAAUAAAAGUUAUGAAUAAUUAGGAACUCAAGAUAGAAAGAAUUCACUCACUCUCAGAAACAACAUUCAUAUGCCACAAAAGAUGCACCAUAGGCUUGCCCAUAAUGUACUACUCUACUAAUUGAGCUCAUUCAGUCAAUGAUCAAGUAUGACUUUAUAUGGUUGUAAUGUAAGCUGCGGGAUGAGUAUGAUAUAUUUGAUAUAAACGUGACUACACCUCCCUAAGAACUUUAAUACAUACAAUUUAACCAUUUAAAACUCCAUACUUAUGUCAAACCAUAACUCUACCUUCACGUCAAUAAAUGUCAACUCCCUACUUCUUUACGCACAAUUACAUCAAGAAAUACCACUAUCAAGGAAUCUUUUUUCGCAACCAUCCAACUAUUUUUUCAUUUUCUUUUUCAAUUCAAGUGGCUCUUAUUUUAUAUUUUUUCAAAACAGUGCACCUUUCUCCUUAUUUCAAGAGUUCCACUCAAAAGACAAACCCACACCCCACACUUUAACUUUUACAAAGAUCAUAAUAAUUUCAAGUGCUCGUGAGAGGUAAGAAGGUUCAAAUAGAUGGUCAAUUCAAACAAUUGGAUAAGGCUUGUAAUGUAGUUUUCAAAGGAAUAGGAUUACGGUCUCAAAGGAGUCAACUAGGAUACAUAACAAUUAGGUGGAUAACAACAUAUAACUGACUCUACAAAGAAACGCCUACAUCACUUCCAAGAGUGAAUAAAAUUACUAUUUCGCUUUGCAAACACAUGUGGCAAGUUCUAGACAUCAAAUGUAAUGCACAGAAUACACGAAACCUCUCACACACAUGGCAAAUAACUCAUUCAGGAUCGGACUCAUCGAGACACNNNNNNNNNNNNNNNNNNNNNNNNNNNNNNNNNNNNNNNNNNNNNNNNNNNNNNNNNNNNNNNNNNNNNNNNNNNNNNNNNNNNNNNNNNNNNNNNNNNNNNNNNNNNNNNNNNNNNNNNNNNNNNNNNNNNNNNNNNNNNNNNNNNNNNNNNNNNNNNNNNNNNNNNNNNNNNNNNNNNNNNNNNNNNNNNNNNNNNNNNNNNNNNNNNNNNNNNNNNNNNNNNNNNNNNNNNNNNNNNNNNNNNNNNNNNNNNNNNNNNNNNNNNNNNNUAAGCGUCACAACUAAAGCACUUACUAUUCUCAAGGCAUAAUAAAGUUAAGAGAUAUUGCUUUCAUUUAAAAUCACAACACAAGAUCUCCUACUCCUAAAAGAAAAACUAACUAUACCUGGUUCAAGCAAAACCCUUGGAAAAGAACCAUGGCACAAAGAAAACCAAGGGGGGAUUAUUAUACUACCUAAAGAAAAUAAUAUUUUUUUCGACUUUAAAAAUUUCAAUCAAAAGAAACGAAAAUAUACACAAGAAACGGAAACAAACAGUUAUUUACAUAUUUACAUCCCCUCCCCACACUUUAAAUUGUGGCAUGUCCCCAUGUUACACAAAUAAAAAGCAAAAGGUAAAGAAAACCCCCUGGACUUUUUCCGUUGCCGAGAACUUGUGAACUCCACCCCUAAUUCUGAAUUCAUUUUUCGUUUUCGCUCCUUGGGAUUCUGUAUGGAGCUCAUUAGGCCAAAGUCCUUUAAGGAUAUUUGAAAGAACCGCUCUUUUCUUUCUUUCUUGGGCUCAUUUUGAGUGGUGGAUUGUUCUUGUAGGAUCAUCCUCAACUUGUUUCUACAUUCAUUUACAAGAUCAAUCCAUGCAUAUUCAUGUAAAUCCCCAAAAUUAAAAUCCACAUGAUCAAGGUUAGAAUAAGAAAAUGAAGAAGAAGGGUCAUAUGAGUACUCCUCUGGUAAGUCCAAGACCAUUUGUUCCUCAUUCUCUUCCACUAAAAAUUAUAAUUGUGGAUAGGUGGAUGAGGGUUUGAACUCUUCUUGUAUUGCUUCAUAAUCAACCAAAGCAUCAUUUUCAAUCAUUUCAGUUGAAACAGAGUCCUCUUGCAAAGUAGAAAACUCUCUCGGUAGAUGUUCAUUAUCUCGGGUAGGCUCAUUUUCACACGGUAUAUCUUCCAUAUAUUCACCAUCACAAUGCAACGAGCUAAGUCUAUUUACUAAUUGAUUCACUUGCAUUGUUAGGUUGUUAGUGGCUUCAUCAUCUUGUAUAAAUUUUUCUUCUACCUUAUUUAUAAACUUAUACAUAAUCUCUUCUAAACUACUAUUCUCCUCUUGAGGUGAUUGUCUCACUUCGCUUUCAUUCGAGUCAUAAUAAGGGUAUUCAUCCCAACCAGAGUCAUAAUUGUACCCAUAUGAAUCCUCAUACCUGUACGGACUAGAGACAAAGUGAGAGUGUUCAAAAGAUGAACCAUAGGAAGAAUACCUACUUGCUUGACAAUCAACCCAUAGAUGAUUUCCACCGCAUUUAAAACACGUAGCACACCACUGAUAAUAUUCAGCUGCAAACUCUCUAACCAUUUUCUUAGGCUGGUUGUACUCCAUCUUCACAUCAUUUAGAGUUCAAUAACAAGAAUAUGCUCUUCGAGAUUUCUUCAACCAAAAAAAAAAUCUUGAAUAGAAGUUAACCAAACAAACUACAAAUAAAAGAAAAAUUAAAAGCUAAUUCCUGGAUUAGCACUACAAACUACUUCAAACACUAUUGAUAUCCAAUUCCCGGCAAUGACUCCAAAAUUUGACGAGCGCAAAAUACAUACUUAAAUUGUACUCGCUAGUCAAAGAUAGUAUAGUAAAAUUAUCGUAUCCACAGGAAUUGGAUUUAAAUAAUAUUAUCAUAGUUUGUAGCUAGAUUGCUAUUCAUAAGGAUCAACAGUUGAGGUUUAUAUAAUAAAUAAUCUAAAAUAUAUAGCUAUUGACUAAUGACAAUCGCAACAAAGGUAAGUAAGGGAGUUAUCAGUGGGAGAAAAUAUGGGUUGAUAAGAUAGGUGCAAGACAAUUGUUCGGGAUCUAACUUUAGAUAAUUGACUUCUAAUGUUCAAGUGAGUCUCUCGAAUUCAAUUAAUUAUCAGUACAAUUAUUUAGUAGAAACUCCUCUCUCGAUUAAGUCUCAACCUCACAAUAUGAACCAAUUUAAGCUCGGUGAAGAUAUGCAAGAAUUCGAAAUGGAUUGGUCUUUAGGAGAACCUUUUUCGAUUAUCCUCUUAACUAGGUUUUCAACUAGGCUCUUUUGAUUACUUCGAAGAAUCUAUGAACACAACCAAUAAUAUAGUACAAAUAUAUCACAAGUUAUGCCUAUCUCGAUUAAAAGAACAAGUGAACAUAGAUGCAACAAUUUAAUCUUCCCAAAACGAUUCAAAUACAUAAAAUUAGAGUUAUAAUCUACAAACAACCAUUAAUACACUAAAUCCAUCAAAACCUAAAUGGUUCUACUCCAUAGACAUGGAGAAGUUUUUCACAAAUGAAAUAAAAGUAUAGAAAAACAUAAAUACAAUCCAAACCUGGAUCUUGAGUGAGGAAGGAAGGAUGAAAUCCUUGUGCUCUUGCUUGUCCCUCUUCUCCUUAGCUUCCUUUGGUCUAAUGUAUGUCAAAAGUCCAGAAAUGGUGUCUUUCCCGUGUAUUUAACUAUCCCCCAAAAAACCCCGGACGAAAAUACCCUUUUUAGCGGAAUUGGGAACAGACUCUAACAUUUUUGCACUAUCGCGCCGCAUGCCACGCCGCCCCAUGGGGCGCGCUUAUGGAUAAUUCUGGGCACAUUACAUUCUGGGCACAUUUUGCACAGCAACGCCACCCCAUGCGGCGCGACUGUGUAGUUUUCUCAAAGUAAGUUCGUUUCUCCAAUUUUUGACAUCCGGACCUGGUACUCGACCCCCGAACGUGAUCCUGAUUUAAUCCCUUGGGCUUCUACUCAGACUUCAAAGUUCCAAAUAGCUCGAAUUUUCUCUGUAACAUCUAAAUAACCCGGAAUCAUUCUUACACGGCAUAAAAUAUCCAAUAAGUGUAAAACACUACUAAUUAAAGCUCAGCAUAAGUAAAGUGUAGUGAAUUAGAGUGCAAUAACCGACUAAAACACGGGUUUCUAGCCUACCAUCACUUUGAGCCAAGUGGGGGAGCCUGCUGCUGAUGGUUUAAUUUGAUGUUUAUAUGUUAAAUUUUAGUUUUGGUCUGAGGCAUAUUUGUGUGUUAGUUAUGACUUGUAGAGGUUGAGAUCGAGGAUGACUCGAGUAAGGAAAUUCCUGAAUACGGGUAGCAUUACUCUUUUUGAAAAUAUGAAAAUCAUGGAAUGAUUAAGUUGUUAUUUGAAGGAUGUAGUGCGCAUAUAUUAUGAAUUUGAUUGGUGGUUCUAAGGCAAGAUUACUACUUUAGGUGUUGUUAUGCUAAUAGGGCAUGUGUCUUUCGACCCGUUUGGGCCGUACAAUUUAGAUUUGAGCAAAGUGGGUGGCUCUCGAGAAGGUGCUAAUGGAUUCAAAAAUGUAUAAGUGGCAAUUGAAAUUUUUUCGGAUUCGUAUAUCGCUAGAAUCACUUAUUUACACUGGAUGGUGCUAGGACUUGCGGUAAUUCUGUAUGACUAUGAAUUCUACAUAUUAAUAUAAGAAAGUGAAGAGGAAAAUUUUUAAAUUCGCAUAAGGUCCUUCAGAGUGGAUGUCUCGGUUGUGGUAUUUAUGGGGUGCUUAAGAAGAAUACAACGGCUUAUGGGCCUUAAGGCGGUAUGGUUUUAUGUUAAGGGUGUCUUAUAGUAAGCUUUGGAUAAGGAUCGUAGUGUUCUGACAAGGAGAAGUGUCAACUUGAGGGUAAUUUAGAAGAAACUCGGAGAAAAUAGGACAACUGGGUAGUAGGCUAGACCAGUAUGGUAAUGGUAUGCUCGGUUCUUUUGGGUGAUUAUGAUGUGGUGAGGCUCUACAGAUAUUUUGGUGGCAAUACUCUCAGAUUUGGAAACCUGUGUGGCUUGGUCGAGUUAGAGGAAUUCAGUUCUGAUAGCUUGGUUAUGUGCAAAUGGGUUUUGAAGAGUUCUCGAUGGUUUCUAUCACGGUUUAAGAUGGAUAUGUCCUACCGGCGAGAGGAACAUGUUAUGUAUUGUGAUUUCCUCCUGUAUGGGAGCAAAUGUAAGGUUUCUAACUAACCGGGUAUGUAUAUUUGCUCAUGACUCAGAGUGUUAAUGAGGAUUUCGUGUUUUCACAGGAUGGCCUAAUAAAGGCGGUGAGUGGAGGGAGAUUGGGAUUUGCAUGUGCAAGUAUAUGAUUCAGUUUCAAGGGGAGGUAAUGAGUUUAUGGAGAACAAACAAUUUCAAAUAUUGGCACUAGUGGUAUUACCCGAGCAGAGUGUACAUUCAAAAAAGGGCACACUGUGUUUUGGACCUACGGAUAUUUCGUUGGUAUCGCGGUAUUCGCCCGAUUGAUAGACUGCAGAUAUUCAAAUUAUUUGCUAUGUGGCAUGAAAUAAUUAUAGAAGUAUUCCUCGUGGGAUGAUUGUGUAUGAGAGAUGUGUUAGACGUUCGGGCGGUGGAGUUGGGAGCAGAUAUGGUGAUUUGUGUGUUCUAUAAAUUUGGGAGACUGGGAGUUCUCAGAAGUAGAUUGUAUCGUGACUGUGAACUAUGAAAAUGUGGCCAAAGCUAGCAAGAUGAUAGUAUAUGUUAUGGGUAGGUCAUUGUGGACUUUCAGAGGAGUAUGUAUCUAUUUGUGGGUGGCCAUAGUUGAUUUGGGGUCCAUUGGUAGGUCCAAUGAGGAUGUGUAUUCUACAUCGGGUUGGAUUGGUCAACUCCAUACUACUAUUGUUGGGGGAUAUGCCAUUCGGUUAGAGCGAAUCUUAUUCGUGCUCUGAUAUGAUCUAUGUGUUACUUCUCUACACUACGAGGGGUUGUGAUUUGUUGGUUAUAAGCACACAUAGUGCGGUUCUGUUCGGGCCUUAUAGAGGAAUUUAAGCGAGAUGGAUAUCUGGGUGAUGAAUGAUUGAUUGUGCACUUGGUUAUGUUCUCUCCGGACUGUGGUAUAUUGUGCUAUCUACUUAUCCGUGGUAAUAGUUAUGCACCUUGGAAACUUGAUGUCAAAUUGCGCACGGUUGUUGGCCUUGAGCAUGGUAGCUAGGGGUAUUUCAUAUGGACCAGUGUUUGGAUUUGGAUGGGGUCACGCAUUGCAACAGGGUUACGUCGGGAUAUAAUCCAUUUUUUAGAUUCGUGUGUUUUGGUUCUACUAUGUAUGAUGAGCUCAUAGCAUUACGAUUGUAGUGGUGCUUGUGGAACUUGCGAAAUGGUUCUCUUCUUCAAGACAUUUCCUAUUUUUGGACGCACGGAUUGUGCAGUUUGUGGCUUGAGUUAUAUUGGUGUGGCAUGUCUGUGGAAUAGUCAUAUUUGAUAAUAUAAGGUCAUUGUACCUAUGAUGGGUACUAUCAAAUUUGAUUACGGUAUAUUUGGGAGAAUAAUAUUGAAAGUCGGCUUAUAAAGUAAUUAUGGUUCUGGUUAGGGCGAGAGAGCUCCAUGACUUGUUGAUAUGAUAAGUGGUUAUGAGAUUCCGCGUGUUUUCUUUCAUUAUCGGCAAUGUACGAAGGUUUUGGAAUGAGGCUUUGUUAAUAUGGGGUUUAAUACUAGUACCAGGUUGGUUUUGAGUAGUUACUGUGGUCGGAAAUGGUGCUGCGAGUAUGCGAGUCGUGUAGUAUGUUAUGUGAUUAUAUAUGGGGUUAUGGCUAUGCCUUGAUACAGUUUGUUCAGACUUAUACAGUGUGUAGAUGUGAGAUUCCGGUCUUGAGAAAAAAUUUUGAAUGUUGGAAAUUGAAUUUCCAAGGUUAUGGGCUAAGUUUGAAUUAAUAAUUUUCAGUUAUGCUAUGUUGUCAGGCCUGCAUAGAAUAAGGUGACGUGAGAUCACCCCCGGGUAUGUGUAUGGUAUGGUGGAACAGUGAUUUAAAGGCUUAGGAACAACUCUUGACACGUUCGAAGACGAACAUAUAUUUAAGUAGGGGAGAAUGUAACGACCCAGCAGGUCAUUUUGAGUAUUACAGUCCCGUUUCCCCGCUUACUGCUUAUCCCGCAUUCUAUUAUAAUUAUGUGAAUCGUCGGUGAGGUUACAAAAUGAAUUAGAACACUUAGUUCCGAGAUUUAAAGCUUAAGUUGAAAUAGUUGACCAGAUGUUAACUUAUGCGUAAACGACCCUGGAAUAGAGUUUUGAUGAUUCCAAUAGCUCCGUAUGGUGAUUUUGGACUUAGAAGCGUAUCCGAAAAAUUAUUUGGGCGUCCUUAGUUAAAUUAGGCAUGGAUUGGCUAAAGUGGAAAUUUAAGUUUGGAAGUUUGACCGGGGAGUUGAAUUUUUGAUAUCGGGGUCGGAAUCCGAUUCUAGAAAUUGGAAUACGACCGUUAUGUUAUUUAUGACUUGUGUGCAAAAUUUGAGGUCAAUCGGACUUGAUUUCAUAGGUUCCGACAUCGAAUGUAGAAGUUAAAAAUUCUUAGUUUCAUUAAGCUUGAAUUGGGGUAUAAUUCGUGAUUUUAGCGUUGUUUGAUGUGAUUUAGAGGUUCGACCAAGUUCGUAUGAUAUUUUAGGACUUGUUGGUGUAUUUGGUUGAGGUCCCGUGGGCCUUGGGUGAGUUUCAGAUGUUUAACGGAUCAAAUUUGGACUUAGAAUAAUUAAAACUUGUUGUUGCCUACUAAUGCAAUCUCACCUGAGGAAAUGGGCUCGCAUGUGCAAGUUCGCAGAAGCGAGCCUGGGAGUGCAGAAGCGGUAAAGGGAGAGUGGGCAAUGGCCGAAGGUGCGAGGGAAAAUUCCACACGUGCGUGAUCGCAGAUGCGGACGGAUGGGCGCAGAAGCGCAAGCUCCGCAGAAGCGGAUUGAGCCUCGCAAAUGCGAGCCCGCAGAAGCAGCUUUUGGGGUGCAGAAGUGGAGGCACUGAAGGCCUUAGCAAACCGCAGAAGCGGUUGGUUUCUGGCACCUGCGAGGCCGCAGAAGGAGCUAAGUGAGUCACAGGUGCGGAACCCCUGGGCAGUAUACAUUUCGAAGGGGUUCUGAAUUUUUACCAUUUUUGGACAUUUCCAACACGGUUUUGGGGCUAUUUUNNNNNNNNNNNNNNNNNNNNNNNNNNNNNNNNNNNNNNNNNNNNNNNNNNNNNNNNNNNNNNNNNNNNNNNNNNAAUUAUAGGAUUUGGGCCUAGGGAUUUGAAAAUGAUAUUUAGGGAUUUGAAGGUCGAGUUGUUGUCGGAAUUUGAUAAAUUUGUAUGGUUGGACUCGUGGUUGAAUGAGCAUUCAUAUUUUAUAACUUUUGUUGGGUUCCGAGACGCGGGCCCCACGGAUAAUUUUUGAGUACAAUUUUGAAUUUUGUUGGAAAAUUAAUAUUUUUAUAUGGAAUUAAUUCCUAUAAUUUGUGUUGACUGAAUCGAAUUAAUUGUGACUAGAUUCGAGUCGUUCGGAAGUUGAUACGCGCAUAAUGAAAUUUCUGGAGCAUUGUUAGCUUGCUCGAUAUUGGACUCGGCUUGUUCAAGAUAAGUAACUCUUCUAAUCUUGGAGCUGAGGGCAUGAACCCUGAUUAUACGUGUUAUGUAUUUGGUGUUGAGGUGACACACAUGUUAGGUGACGGGCGUGUGGGCAUGCACCGUGUUAACUGUGACUCCAUUAUUUCUUGGUACUGUGUAGUUACCUGAACUUAUCUGUAAUCAUGAAAUCUCUACGUACUAGAAUUAUCGAGCUGUAAUUCAUGUUAGAAACCAUAUCCAGACUAUAUACUUAUCUUGUUGGGACCUAUUGUGGUCAUUACUACUGUUGAGUUAUUUGCUUACAUUGCAAUUUCAUAUCUCAGUCUCUGUUGUUAUUUAUUGAUACAUCAUAUCAUUAUUUUUGGGCUAGUUUCAUGACAAUUGUGUGCCCAAGAGACUGGAGAGAUUGAUGACUGAGUGAGACCGAGGGCCUGAUUUUAAGUUAUUGAUACUAUAACACGUGAGUUGUCCGUGCGGAUUUAGAUAUUGAUACUAUAGUACGUGAGUUGUCCGUGCAACACGUGAUUUGUCAGUGUGGAUCCAGAUAUUGAUACUAUAGCACGUGAGUUGUCUGUGCGGAUUAUAGCACUUGGGCUGAAGGAGCCCCUCCGGAGUCUGCACACACCCCUAGUGAGCGCAGGUACCUACUGAGUGCGAGUGCCGAGCGAUUGGGAGGACUGAGCGAAAUGAUACUCUGAGAGUAUACAUAUGGUUUUAUUACUGAGUUGUAUCGCAUUGACAUGCACACUUGACAUACAGUCAUAGAGAUGUAUUUUUCUCAUGCUAUACGAUAUUGCGUCAUUCAUGACUUCACAUGUACAUUUACUUGUAGGCAUAUAGAUGUACUUUUCCUCAUGCCAUUUGAUAAUAGGACGUUUACCUGUUGAACAAUUUUGGAAGGACAAAUCACAAUUUUGCAAACUUACUCAUAUUUUGGUGUUUUCGGUAAAAGAUUUGGGUUUUCACUUUUAUACUUGAAAAACAUGUCUAUUUUCUGGAACUGUGAACGAGCUGAACAUUUUAUUUAUGAGUUAUUUCAUGUACCACUUUUGUUAUAUUGUUAUGAGCUGUUGUUGGACUUGACCGUGUUCCAGCUCGUCACUACUUUCAACUAAGGUUAGGUUUGUUACUUAUUAAGUACAUGGGGUCGGUUGUAAUUAUACUACACUUUUGCACCUCACAUGCAGAUUUUUGAUGUUGAUGUUCUGCGUACGACGGGAGAUGGAUGUGAAAAUGUACAUGCGUUCCAGCCAUUUGCUGCCUCUUGUUCAUGGUAGCUUUAGAAUUUUUAAUCUGUUCAUGUAUAUUUCAGACAUAUGAUGUAUUUUUAUGUCACACCAGUUUUAUAAUUUUUAGUCUUAGAAGCUCAUGAUUUGUACUACCAGUCCUUGGGGAGUGUAUUAAAGUCAGUUAAAUAUUAAUCGAAUUGGAUAGUUAUUAAUUGGCUUACCUGACAAGUUGGGUUAUGUGCCAUCACGACUAGGUAGAUUUUGGGUCAUGACAAAAAUAUUCCCAAAUGUAUUCUUACUCCAGUUGAUAACAUUAUGUUUGAAAAAUUGAGUGGCUUCUGCGAAUUCCUUACCCUGCCAACUAUUAUAAACAAUUGAGGUAAAAUCAGGAUGAGUGCACCAAUAGGAUUCUAAAUGGAAUGAUCUAUCUAUAGGUCUGGUAUGUGGUUGGGUGAGAUUAACAAGGAGUGGGUUAUGGUCAGAGUGUGUUUUUGGGAGGUGCAAGACUGAUGCCUGGGGGUACUGUUGUAGCCAUGCAUCAUUGGCCAAACAACGAUCAAGCCUUUCUAAUAUUAAACCAUGACUUCUCCUUCUAUGAUUUGACCAAGUGUAACGACUGCCUUUAAAUCCUAGGUCAAUGAGAUAUAGUAAUUAAUAGAGGCCCAAAUCUUAGAUGAUCUAGAUCUAUUUAACGGUCUACCCCCCCAUCUCUUCUUGACUCAUAAUGUCGUUGAAGUCGCCUCUCAUAAACCAGGGGCCCCUAUAAUUAUCGUAAAUAGUUCUAAUGUGAUCCCAUAGUAGACUACGAUUUACCACUAACGUACUAGCGUAAACAGUACUAAGUAACCAAGGUUGGUAGUUGGACUUUACCUGGAUCAUGGCUUCAAUGUCUUGAGGGGACUGAGAUAUACGGGUGACAGCCACAACAUUAUCUUGCCAAAGGAUAACUAGACCUCCCGACCUACCUUGGGCAGGGACUUCGAUCACGUCAGACAAGUUGAAGUCGUCUCUUAGAGUAGUAUGACUUUCCAUCCUAGUUUCUAGAAGAGCGACCAUGCAGGGAUUAUACGUGUUAAUUAAUUCCCUGAAGUUGUGCCUAAAAUUGUCAUUAUUGACUCCCUUAAUGUUCCAGAUGACAAAGCUUGUGGGUCUAUUCAUGGUUUGGGGAUUUGUUUGAUGAGAUAAAUUAUUCUGGCUCUACAGUAGAGGGAAUUGGAAGCCUCUCAAGGAUGAACUCAUCACUACUGCAUAUUUUGCUAUCGCAGUGUUGAGAGGUAGACGAAUGUGGAGGGAGAACUUGUAGAGAGCUAUGGGGUAGCGGUGUAUGUAUUUUUUGUCCUCCAAUUCUGGGAAUAUCAUAAGGGCUGCUCUUCGCAGACUUGAGAUUUCUGUGAAGAGGUUAUGUGCGCUUCCAUUUCUCCUUGUGCUUGUGGAGGAGCAGGUUGUGGAUUGUCCAUCUGCAUGGGCAUCUGGGGUGUUUGUGGAGCUUGGGUUUGUUGAGGUUGCCAUGGAAAGAACAAGGGAUUUGUGUUGAUUGUCUCAUGUGGAGUGAAAAAGGGUAGGUUGAAGACUUGAUUCAUGUUUAGGAGAAGGUUGAAGUGAUGUGGUAGUGUCCAUUGGGCAUGCAUGUUGUAGAAGAGAGUUGGGGCUAUUGCCGGAGCUAAUGGGUCUAGAACAUUGGCCAUCCACAUGUGAUUCAUGUAGUUGUCCAUUGCUAGUAUUAUUCCCUCGGUUAUCAGUUGUGCAAGGAAGUUUUGGUUUUGGAUGAUAAAAAUUAUCUCCUGUCCAUUGAUGCUUAGAUUGAAGAACACUGCUUGUCCUUGCAUGCCCUGCCCGAUCCACGAUAGAGGUGGUUCAGAAGGUGGGAUUGUUUGGGUUGCAUACACUGGGAUGUUGGGUGCAAUUAGUGGGGGAAGUGGUGUCGGAAACAGUGGAGGUGGUGGUGCUCGGUUGUCCAUUGAGGGGUUUCGAGUUAACUGAUGAGUUAGAAGGACUAGUCAAUUUGAUCUCCUGUUUAGGGGAAUUAAUAAGCCCGUCAUUAUGAGGUGAAAGAAGGGCGUGGGGAUCAGGGUAUGAUAGGGAAUCAGUAGGGAUAGAUUUGGUUUGCAUGGGAGAAAUAAUAUGAGUAUAUGUAAGGUUAAAUUAUAGUGUAUCAACUUGCAUGUCUACUUGUCCAAUAGGAUUUGCCAAGUGUUGAAUGCAUGCAUUGGAUGGAAUGGAUAUAUUGGCGGCGCAGAUGGUUUUAGUGGUCUCUAAAGGAGGUUUAUUAGUAAUAACUGAGCUGUCAUUACUAGUAGUAGGGGAUAAUAUCAUUACAUCACUAUUAGGGCCUAUUGGUGGGGAAAUAUCAACCUUAGCCACGUUUUGGCCAUAUGACGGAACGUUAAGAGUUGGUUCUUUUGGAAUUAACAAAGGCGAGGGUGAGUGGGCGCGCGUGGAGGGAGCAACGAUUGGAGUUCCCUGGGAAUAAUUAGAAUAUUCUUCCUGCAUGGGAAGGGUCGAAAAUUUAUUAUGUGUUUGGAUUUUGAACUGUUGGUGAUAUAUGACAUGUGAACCUUUGUUAUUAAUGUGAUCACUAUUAUUGCUAAGACUCAGAGAUGAAGUAAUUGCUUUUGGUUUAAAAUUUAACUUUUGGGUAUUAAUGUACUUACCUGAUGUUGCCUCAUAAAUCAUAACAUUAAUACCUUCAUUAAUAGGUAUGGUAGAUUGAUCCUGGUUCACUCUUUGUUCCUGGUUAUACCUGCGCAAGAGACCCUUCUUUUUCCUUGAAAAGGACAUUGUAAGCCAUUCCUGUUUGGUGUCCCUAUUGUCUAGUAUUUUGGAUGGUGGGCAUGAUCCUCUUAUGUGGUCGGUGAGGAUUUGUUUUCCCUUCUCUAGUAGGUUUGGACAAUGUUGUCGAGUGUGACCAAUUUUGCCGCAUCCUUUAUAAAAUAGAUAUUCACUUUCAUACACUAUAGGCUGCUUGUGAGAACCGAUGUAUAUAUGCGAUUUAACUGGAUGUUCUAACGGGACUUCAACACAGAGCCUUGUGUAUCUACCUCUCAGAGUAGCACUAGUGCAAGCAUCAAUCUUUAGGAGUCUUCCAAUCAAAUUACCGAUCUUUUUAAGGAUCGUUCCAUCAUAGAAUUUUGUUGGUAAUUCUGGUACUCUUAGCCAGACGGCGGAUAAUGUUUGUUUAGCUUGGCUGGCAACGAAGUUGGUUUCCCAUUUUUGUACUAUUAAGUAGUAUCCAUUAAUGAAUCAGGGUCCUUGUUGCAACGCUUUGUGAGGAGCUUGUCUUUGAAGCUUGGUGAAGGAUUCAAGGAAGUUGAUGGACUAGAUAUAUCUAGUGGCUUCGGGGGAACGGGAAGGGUGCGCAUCUGUGAAGGAUUGUCAAGGAUUGGAUUGGUCAUUGAACAAGGCGUGAAGAAGGUGUUGAUGAGUUGAGAGAAGGGAGGGAGUUUCUCUCUUAAGACCUGUUACGUAAAAAUCAUUCAAUUUUAUGUUCAUUACCCAAAAAUUAUUUUUCUUUCUUUUAUUACACAAAAAUUAUUUUACUAUGCUCUAGUUAUCACAAUAGUCACUUUGACCAGAUUUUACAAACCUUUCACCUAAAAAGUCUAUUAUGCCCUUGACAUUAUAAAUCUUCCCAUUUAUGCAAUACCUUAUAUAUUAUAUGCUAUGUAAUGUACUUUUACCCAGAAAUUAUACAUAUAAGUAAAAUAACUUAAUAUUAUUUUAUUUAUUAUUUUUAUAAUAUAUUCAUACAUUUAAUUUUUUCUUAACAUUAAUUUUUAAAAUAUAUUAACAUUAUUAAAUUUGUCGGUAACAAUUGCCGUGAACAAAUCUCAAGUCCACGUUCUUAACCAUGCUUAAUAAAAUAUUUUUAAUAAAAAUUAUAAAAUCAAAGCUCACUGGUUUAUCAGCCAAACCAUACCCAUUAAUCCAAUAAAUAAAAUACUUACAUUUAGCACAAUGACACAUCGGAUUAAUACUUUUAAAUAAAUAAUAUUAACAGAUAAAGCUUUAAAAAACUUAAUAUUAAACAAAAAUAUCUUUGAAACUUUUUCUAAAAUUCUUAUUAACUAUAAAAAAAACUAUCAUUUGUUAAAAAAAAUCUAUUUUUAUUAUUUCAAAUAAAUAUUAAAAGAUAAAUAUUUUUAUUGUUUUUAUAUUUAAAAUAUGUUCAUGUUUGAAUAUGAUUAAACAAAUUGAGUGCCAUGAAAAAAUUAAAUCGAUGGAAAUAUUAUAAAAAUAAUAAAUAAAAUAAUAUAAAGUUAUUUUAAUUAUAAGUAAAAUACCUAGAUGAAAAUAUAUUAAAUAGUAUCUAAUAUGGAAAGUGUUACGUAAGUGAGAGGAUUUAUAAUGUCAAGGGCAUAAUAGACUUUUCAAAUAAAGUAUUAUCAAAUCUGGCUAAUGUAACUUUUGUGAUAAAUAGAGCAAAGUAAAAUGAUUUUUGUGCAACAAAAGAAAGAAAAUUGACUUUUGAGUAAUGAAUACAAAAUUGAAUGAUUUUUACGUAACAAAAAGAAGAAAAAAUGACUUUUGCGUAAUGUAUUCAAAGUUGAAUAACAAAAUUUCUCAGAAGUUCAAGUUGGUAACAUGUGUGCAAAUGUAAGAUGGGCCAUAUUCGGAGCAAAUGAACUCAGGUUAGGCAGCCCACGUCUCAAAUUUUUUUUUUUGCUAAUAGGGUCUUUUUCCCCCUUCAUUUGUAUGAUAUCUCGUUGAUAAUGUAUUCUCAAGGCACCUGCUUCAUUGAGAUUCAGUAACUAAUUGAAGAAAUUACACCAAUAGCCCUCCCCUGUCCCAGAGUUUUCAUUAAUUUUGUGAAUGCUUAUAUUGCUUGUAGUGAGAUAACUUGUGUCAUUGGUUGGUCUUGAUAUAUGCUUUAUAAUGGAGUACAUAAUAUUUUUUGUCAAUAUAUAAUCCUUCACCCCCAAUUAAUUCUUGGCUGUUACCUACUUUGUAUAUGCAACUCAAUUGGACUCAAUGUGGUACUGAAAGCCAAUAUUAAUGUGACAGGGCGUGGUAAACAGGGAGAGGGUAAGAAUCUUGAUAAUGCAAGAAAGAGAAGGAUUUUGCAGAUGCAGAUAUGAAUCUGUAACUCAGAUUUGUGUCUCCUUAAGCGGACAAAAGAAACAGAGAAACCAGUAGUGGAGAAAAAAAAAAGUACUGAGGUAGAGAGGACCGCGAGUAGGAUCUUGCGGCUUAUUACAUGCUAUAAGUAGAUAAGGGUUCAAAGCAAGAAGCAGAAGUGCAGAGGCCAACAGUUGCUCUAUGAUCUGGGCAUUCUUAUGGGAAAACCACUCACAGCCUUAACAACCCUCCUCUCUUCAACAUUAUUUAUGAAAGCCUGAAACGCGGUGUAAAUAAAUCACACACCAAUUUGUGUAACAAAUUGUUUGGUACGUGUCAUGACCUUAGAAUUGAACAUGUAAGUUUGUCCUAAAUAGAAGAGGGAAGGCUAAUAUAAGUGGUCCAUGCUAGAGAUGCCAGUGUGCUACCUUAAUAUCUACCUACUUUUUCCUAUUCAGUCCAAUGAGCGUUUACAACAGCCUUUUUCGAAAUAACACUAGUAAACUAUCACUAAUUCUCAUGACUUAAUUGUUUUCUUAAAAUGAGCCAUUAUGAACAUGGGGUUAAUUUAAUUCAAUAACGAUAUACGUGAGAUUUUUAAUCUAGUUCGUAUUAAUUAAAAAAUCAGCUUUUAAAGCUAUCAGAAAGAAUUAAAAAUUUCGGUUUGCUACCAUUUUAUAUACAAUACUUAGUUAAUUUCUUUUGCAUAUACUGCCUGCGUGGCAUAUUAUCAUUUAAGCAAACAAAUAAGAAAUUGCAAAAGAUUAUUCCUAGUAUGGACAUGUAAAAAAGCUUUGCGCCAUAUGAUAAAGAUUAAAUAAACUUCAUGUGCGCUUCGAGAUUAAAAAGUUUCUCACACGAUUUAAAAAUCCGCCUAUUAUUUCUUACUACAAUAAUACAGGAUCGGAGGCUAAUUAAGUGGAUAAUUCAUUAACUAGUAAUUAGCUUAUUUUAAAUGUUCUAAACCAAUUAUAUCAACAGUUUAGCACCCUUUGUAGCUGUAGCAUUCUAAAACCAUGGCCAGAGCCCCUUACAAUAUGGAGUACGACAGAGAAGCCGAAACUCAAACUGCGUGAGCUACCAAAAGCUAGUUAUAGGUUUGUGUGAACAAGAAGAUCAUGCUUGUAAUUACAGAUAGUGAAAUAGAUCUACAAGACUAGAAUACCAAAAUUUCUUACUCAUGGGCUUAGCACAGCGCCGACCUGGCCACGGCAACUGACAACUGGGGGAUGUUCUGAACAAAUAAAGCUCUCCACCUCACAGCCAAAGUAGAUGGGGGCAUAAGGUCUCUCAGCUUUCUAGAUUUGCAGUAAAAACAGAAGAAAACCUCAUCAUUUAACGGAAGAGAAUCUGAGUCGCGACCUAGCUAGCCACCUAAGGUGGGUUUUUUUUUGGGGGGGGGGGACCGCAGGUCUAAAGUCGAUAUGGUCCCCUCUAUCUACCUAGCGGAUUGUAUAUCUUAGUCGUACGAGGUGCAAAAUAUUCGAUUUCGAUGGCUUAGUAUAGGCGGCUGAUCCAGAUCCAGCAACAGCGACGUCGAGAAAAUGGAUCGGGUUUAAUUAAUUGGUACCGGAUCGGAGCAAUAUUGGGAUACCGGAUUCCUUUGCUAAUAUGGACUACUGUUUAAGAGCAGACAUGGUGGAUUUUGGAGCUCUCUGACCCAGAUUUCUCCCCCUGCAUGGAAAUUGAAUUCUGGGGAUUUGUGCAUAACCCCUGCCUACAAAAUAUACUCCACUCUCUCGUCUUUCCAUAUUUUUCCGUAUUUGCUUGUAGGUCUAAUAAGCUAGUAUUUAUUAUUUAUUAUAGCAGAACAGAGAUCUGAAUAUGAUUACCUUAAACUAAUUUGAGAUUGAAAUGUAUGGAUUGAUAUUUGACAAUUUAAUUGUAGAAGAGUCCUUCAACGUCUUUGAUGUGUGGUUAGAUAUUUUAGGAGUAUCUCUAGCAACUUAAGAAUGGGGGGCAUAUGCAUCUUAUGUCGAGAUGGAAUAUUUCAGGAUAUACUAAGGGGAUUAGCUAUCCCACAAUUUUAAUGAAAAAUUUACUCCGAAAUUAGUUAAUACCUAUUGUUUGAUCAAAAAGUAUAACUUUUGGUUGAAACUAUUAUUUGUAUGUAAUAAUGGAUUAAACCUAGUUAAUAAUAAUAUCUCCAUAUGCAAAUCCUCAGAGCGUGAAUAAGGUGGGACUGAUCCAAUAAGAGGUUGACAAUAACAAGCAUUAAAUAUUCAUAAAGUAUGAGCAAUAAUGGAAGAGUAACUUGUAAUAAAUAACAAUAGAAGACAUUUAAGUAAAUAUGGGGAGUGAUUCACCCAAUAAAGAAUAGAUUAGAUGAUUGUUCCCCUUGACAAUAAUGAGUGACUCUAAGACAGUUCGAAUUAUUCUCAGAUCUGAUGGAAAAAUGUGAAAUAAUAUUAACAAGGAUCUUAAUAAAAAAGUGACGUUUGUAUCUUUUCUAGAGAGAAAAUCUUUUUUCAGCCAAAAUAUUCUUAUCAGCUCCAUUUUACAUAACCCUUUGUCCUUAUCUUUUUCCUCAUUAUAUGUGAUACACCCCUGGUAAACCCUAAUAGUACAUGUACGGAGAAUAUUCUCCUGAAUUCCCUCUAUUGUCCUAUUCUAAAAACUAGCCGUUACGAGUUCUUCUGCAGACUUCGUCCUCGAUUGUUAUGAACAUCUCGACCACGAGUUUCGCCAUCUCCUGAUCGACCUCAACUGAUUUUUCCUCAAUGCCUUCUCGCCCUAAAUGUUCCGUAGUAAAUUUCGACUUAUACACCUAUAAUAAAUAUAAUCUCAAAUUCUAUCCCGAUAUUAUUAUCCUUAUCCCAUGUAUCAAACGGCCCUUAAAAAAAUUAGUACAGUACGUUGUUACUAAAAAGUUGUGUUAUAUUCUUCACUACGGAGGGUUAAUUAGCGUGAUAAGUUCAAAAAUUGAAAAGUAAAUAAUGCUCCAGUAAAUUGUAAGUACUUGAAGUUAGUUGAGAGUUGUGAAGGGUUUAUUUUCUUAAAGGUAGAUAGGGAUGCAGGACACAAGGACAGACAUUGUUUUUUUGUUUUAUUCCUUUACGGGCUAUACGAGUUACUGCAAAUAUUACAUGAACAGAGAGAAGUCGGCCUUUUUAGCGUUUCCAUUUACGAACAAAGAAUCAAUGACAAUCCCUAUAACAUAGCCUAAUCUUACUCACAGUACAUCAUUUGCCUUUGCUUUUUUGUCCUGCUCUUUUUAAUGUUCACCACCCACUUCAUUACGCACCUUUGAUUUUUUUUUUCCCACUCCUUUUUUAUUUCAUUCUUUUUUGUUUAUAUUGUGUUUAUUGUGCUGCAAAACAUUUUUCUGAAAACUAUUGUUCUUAAUGAAAUUACUUUUGAUUUUUUUAAAUAUUCAAUUACUAAAAAAGUUGAUAUCCAAUAAUUAGAAUAUGAUAGUUUCCUAUAAGGUAAUUGAAACAUAAAACAUACUCCAUUUUCCAUUAAAAAUGCUUUCGAUCCAUACCAAACACAUGAUUACUAUUUAUAUAUAUAAAUUGACGUGCAAGAAAAGAGGGUAGCUAGGAGUCAAUGCGUACACACACCCCUUGUUGGUUGAGGAUGUUAUUUUCUCAUCUUGAAAAAAAAUAUUGAAGCAAUGAUUUGCUGCUAAUAUAAGAAGAUCUUCUAGUUCUUUCUUCCUAGGAGAUACACUUUUCGGAUGAGUAUGCUAUUUUUUCAUAUUCAAAAAGAAUAUCACUGCAAUGAUUUCUUACUAAUAUAAGAUAGACUACUAAAACUAUAGCCUAUAGGCAAGGCAACAGCCUUUGAUACGAUAUUGCAAUAUUCUUGGUGUAGGGGGACCUCAAUCUCGCCCCGACUAUGAGUUAAACCAUUAGGUCUUUUUUUAAACUGUGUUUAUGCUGAUACUUGUUCUCUACUGACAAUACACAAUCAUCUCUUUCGGUUUUUUUAACAAAAGAAUUGGGGAAUAGAAGUCUUUGUUCGGAGUACAGUAAUAAAGGCUUUGAUUAACUUUAUCCUAAAGCAAACUUCUACUGUUGUUUUAAUUUCCUACGUAACAUUAACAACAUAUUUUAGAACUUAAGAUGACAGUGAGAGUUAAUAGCAAGAGCAAAUAGCAAGAAGUUGAAGAAUCAAAUCUCUUUAAUCUUUUAAGAUCAAGAAACAAUAAUAAUUCCUUUACUUAUUGAAUAAGGUAAAGAAGUCUUCUUAACAUCAAAGUUUAUCGACAAAAUUAGGGUAUAGUCGUCCUUGAAGUAUAUCCGUUAAUUCUCUUGAAUUAGGAGCACUUUUCUCUCAAAAUAGAAAAAAGUAGUGCCCUAUAAAAGUUGAAUUUCAGAGCACCUUCUGAUUUUAAUUUACCGAUUUUGCUUUAUAGGAUGUUUUUUUCUUCUUAGAAUUCAAGAAUUAAAACUUGAUUUUUUUAAAAAACAAUUGAUCUGUCGCCUGAAAAAUUACAAUAAUGAAAUUUGUACUAUAGAUAGUCAUUUUCCGGCAAAAUAAAUGUUUUUGUGAAUGUCACGUCUAACCCACAUAUUUUCUGGUUUAACCAUUCAUAAAUAUUUCAUGGAUAUUGAAAAAUGAAUAAUUACACUUGGCUAUUAAAACUGUAUAGAGAUGAUAAGCAAUUCUAAUUCUGAAAUGUCUUAAAAGAAACAAUCGAGAAGUGUUCGCUCAAAGAGGAAAUGUUUUCAGUAACUAGCGAUCAUAAAUAAAUAAAUAAAAAACUUAAAUCUACCAGAAAUAACUGUUAAGCUAUUGUACUGUCACUUUCCUGGUUCUGCUAAGAGUGAAAAAAGAAGUGGAAAUAUCACAUCUUAUGUAUGUAUAAAGACACAUAUUUCUAGCAGAUAAACACAUUAGACCAUGUUCCUCUCAUUUCUCAGCUGUAGUCUCUAGUUGGUUUUCUCUGCACAGAAACACCUUUUUUACUGCCCCCUACACCCCCAACCCCCCCCCCCCCAAAUUCUAGGCUUCAUCUUCUUAAAGUAGUACUACUGUUCCAUUGAAGAUGGCUACUUCUCUUCAGUUUACUUCAGAUCAUCAGUACCCAAUAAACCUUAGUAUUUCUCAACAAGAUCAUCAUCAAACAAAGCCUAGCGCUGAAACAAUGAACCAACAGACUGGACGUAGUAGAAGGUCCAAAGGAGGAGCAAACAAAUCCUUAACACAGAAGAAGAAACAGUCCCAAAGAGGCAUGGGUGUGGAAAAACUUGAACGGCUCAGAUUACAAGAGCUAAUUUCUUCAAAAACAAAUCCACUUCAGUUUCCCAAAUUGUAUGGUGGUGUCAACCAAGUCAUGGCCCCUGAUUUCUUGCUUCAUCAAAGGGUUGCAAAUAGUGGAUCUAGCACUUAUGGACCAGCUCAUGUUACAUUUGGAGAUCAGUUGAUUUCUGGGCAUGAUCAGUUUCAAACUCAAAUGGGUCUAAACGGAUUUGCAACUUCUAAACCCAACCAGCUUUUUCAUGCUGUUUCCCAUACUGAGAAAUCUAAAGAGCUUUCUUCACUGCCAAAUUUGAUGAGCAUCAAGUCAUCAUGUUUCUCCGAUCGCUGCAGUUCAUGCAACAAAGUAUAAUGCCCUUUGAUUUUUUUGUUCAUUUAAAGUUUGAUUUAGUUUAUUUAUGUUUUCUUUUCCUCCUUAAUCGUCAGAAGAAGCGCAUGAUUAAUGGAGAGGAUAUGGGACGUUCUAACACAGAGGCUGGCAUUGUUCAUAUGGAAAACGUGUUAGGAGAAAACCAAUAUUUUGGAACAAAGCCUUUGCUUCACCCAUUCUCAAUACCUAGUCAUCUUGAAAAGGUAAAGAAACAAAAAUGCUACCCUAAUAUUUUUCCCUCUUACUCAAAGAUAAAAUAAAAUGUAGCAGUUCUUCUUCAACGUUUUUAUUAUUCCUCCUCCAUUUUAAUGGAAAUUGUAUAUGUUUCCAGGAUGUGUUUUCUUUUGUUUUUAUAAUAAUUAAUUUGUAGGGGGUAGAGAUAGUGGCAAUCCACAGAAGGGGAAAUUCAACAUUAUCAUCAGAAGGAGGACUUGUAAUGGAGUAUGAAUUCUUUCCUACAGAGAAAAGUGGCAGAUCAAACACUACAAGUUAUGUGGAGAAUGAUAUGAUGAUGAAGAAAAUGAUGACUACUUCAUCAGAAUCUUCUUCAGUUGCAGCAGCAGUGGGUAAUGGUGAAGCUUCUUGUGUCACUACAAUAUCCUGGGUUGAUACUACUACUACAACUACACCCACCAGUUCUAUUGAUCUAUCACUCAAACUUUCUUUCUAGGUUUUUUUACAGAUUAUAUUAAAAAAAGAGUUGUUUAGUUUGUCUUUUUUCUAUAUGGUUUCUGAUUUUUGUCUUUUCACACUUGUGUGAAAUUUAUCUGAUCAAAGACCCAAACACUACUUUAUAUUUACCCUUUUGGUUUAUUUAGCUAGCUACCUGCUAUUACCUCUCCAAAAUGGAGCAAUACAUUUUCUGGGUUUUUUGUUAUCUCUCUUUCUCUAUACUCUUGGGAUUGUGUCAGUGAGAUGGAGAUGCUUCAGUAAAUUUCUCAGCUUUUCUGAUCGUAUUUAGUACUGUAAUAUUUUGCUUCCCAUUUGGAACUCAUGAUUUUUAUUGUUAUAAUAAUGCGUAUAUAGUUAGUAUCCAUACGACUGGCUUUAAACUUGCUCUUAUAUUUAGGUAAUUAGAAAUCUAUGAAAUUAUACUUGAAUCAGUCUCUUAUGGAGGAAAAAAUAUUUCAGAAAUGAGUUUCUUAUAUAUGAAUACAUAUCUGAUAUAUCAAGAAUAGACUUAAUUAAGAUUGCUAUAGAUCAAUUACCUUUGCAACUUCAGUUUUUACGUGGUAAACAUCAAAUGUUUUGACUGUUUUCAUAACUAUUAAAUUAUCUCAUUUCUUUGAUUCCUUUUAUUGUGAAACUAUUAGCUUUGUUAAUUAAAUCCUGUAACUAUACAUUUUAGCUCCAGGAAUCAAGGGUCUAUAUCCAAUAUGGAAACCCCUUCGGUUUUUUCUUCCUAUUUCCUUUUGUCCAACUUGAUCUGUUGCGCCUGUAAGCCUAAAGUUUCAAGGCAACAGCCUAGGCUAUUUUACAAAUUAAUAAAGGGAGUAGAAAUUAAACUUAACUGAGUGUUUUUCAGUGAAAGCUCCCAGUGCCAGCAUAAUCUACCAAAACCCUAGCAGCUUUUUUUGGGGGGGGGGGGGGGUUAAAUGAAGUCAGAGGCGUUCAUCUGAACCCAGUACUUUCGAUUCAGAAUAUAAAUUUAUGUAGUGUAGUGUGGUGAGGUUUUGCCUCACAGAAAGAGUGGGAAAUUGGGAGAAAAAAAUAAAGAAUUUCGAAUCUAAAAAUAAAAAGAGAUUUUUUUUCCAAACGACAAAGGAACUUACGGGCGGGGCAUUUUCGGGGACUAGCCCGCUUCCCAUUACUCAAUAGGGCAAUUCCUUGCAAAUAAUUAAGGGAGCCAUUGAAAGGUGACUAAAACACUAGAAACGGAAAAGUGUAAAAAUUCACUAAAAUUACAACACAUAUUGGGUCUGAACCCAUAACUUUAAAAAUAUAGUAAUAGUUUCAAUACUAAGAAGCGUAAUAGAAUUAAAAUUCUGGAUCCGCGGGUAGGUUAACUUUUCCCUAAGGAAAAUUUCCUUAAAAGGGGUGGCCACUAAACCACAAGGAAUACAUUUGAGAAGUAUCUGUUUGUGAGAGUCAAGCAAAUAUAAUUAACCAAACCAAAAGAAGAAGUGCUUUAUGGCAGUGUAAAAAGUGAGUAACAAAAAAGGAAGGCCAAAGAGCAAUAAUAGGUAGUCAGUAGACCGUAUACAUGUAAAUCCAUGAAAGUAGUGUGUAUCAGCUCUUCUUGUUGAAUCCACCAGCACUGCACUGCUGGCUCAUCUACUGUAAUCUGUAGCUGCUGCUUUUUUUGGCUGGUUAUUUUCCUGCAACUCACAGCUCUUGCCCCAGCGCCCAGUAGUAGUACCCUAGUGUAAUGGGUGUUAAUAUGGAGCAGUGACACUCUCAGUAAAACUUAAGAGCUGCUAAAGCAUUUUCAGUAUGUUAUUUUUGUAUGAUCAGUUUAACUUUUAUAUAGUAUUUGAUGUUGAAAAAUUAUGUAACACCCAAAAAAUAAUUAACACAUAACUACAUUCAACGGUCUAUUAUAAGUAAAACUAGAUAGUGUCCUAAAAAAUAGUUUGAAUUAUGAGUUACAACCGGUAAUUAAAAUACGUGAAUAAUGUGAGUUUUCUUUAUAUUAGGUAUACAAGUUAACUCAUAUUUUAUUGGAUGCUCAUAAAAUUUUAUGUGUAAUUAAUCCGUGAUUGGGCUGUAUUUAACCACAGAAGUUUCUUGAGCUGAUGACCUUUCGAAAACAGUCACUCUACAUCCACAAAGGUAGGGGGUUAGAUCUGCAUACACUUUUACCCUCUCCAAAUCACGCAAUAUGAAAAUACAUUGGGUAUGUCGUUGUUGUUGUUGUUGUUGUUUACGAACCUCGUCGUAUCAAAACAUGAGUAAAGUACUACUGUUAUAUUUUUCAAAUGACUUUAUAUGUACUUCAAUUACCCGUUUGAACUAAUAUUCAUCAUAUUUUUUCCGUUAGUCUAAUUUCACAAAAAUUGCAUUUUCCUUAACAUUUAAGGUCUUUCUGUCUAAACAUAGUACACCUUAAUUAACUUCAUUCCUUCCUUUCGUGCAUUGACCAAAUUCAUUGUGCUUUGGUUGCAAUAGAAUGGUUUACUUCAAAAGGCAACAGUGAGAAAAGAAAAAAAGAAAGAAACGAAGCCAUGAUAAGCAUAAUAUUCUGGAAAUGCUUUAUAAGCAAGUGAAUAGGAUUUUAGUGAUUGAAUUAUGCAACUGUAUUUCAUUCAUUUUAACUUAAUUAGCAGAUUUACGCGAUUGUUAAAGAAAAUAUACAUAUGAGUUAUUUACAGUAUUUGUUUGAGAAACAAGUGGGUAUAUAUUUUGAUUUUUCUGUCUCAGAAAGUUAGCGUAUAGGAUUUUAAAUUGUACUCUAGAAGAGUAAAACUGGAUAACUAACAACCCAAAGUAUUCAUGCCAAACAUUUCUAGAGGGGGCCAGGGAAUGUAUAUGCUAUCGAAUAAAAGUAUCAGACUUCUUUUAGGAUUUUCUCUAUUUUCUCCAGGUUCUACAAAAAUUUGUGAAUUAUUGUACUGUACCACGAUAUUUUGGAUUUAGCCUACAAAACCCAAAUAAUCAUUCAAACAAUAUCUAGAACAAUAAUGUAAAGAAAAAUAUUGAUUCUAGAAAGCAUUAUUGACUUGUUGUUUCUAUUUGACCAUCUCAAACACUUAGAACCUAAGGUUCAUCAUUAGUUUGACUAUGCAUAGAAUUAUAACCUCCAUCCAAAUCUUUUAUGCUGGGUAUUCAUGGUUCGGUUUGGAUCAGUUUUUCCCUAAAAAGAAAUCAAAUCAAGUAAAUCGGUUUUUCAAAUAUUGGGACCAAACCAAACCAAUUAAGUCGGAUUUUUAUGGAUUCUAUUUUUUAUGAUUUUUGUCGGUUUUUUGGUUUUUUUGGUUAUUUAUCGGAUUUUUUUUGAAUAUGAAACAUACACUAUCAUACACAUAUUUCGCCGACUACAUUUUCAACGUAACACCAUCAAACCGAUUGCUCUUUGAGAAAUCUAUCAUUUACCAAGAUAUAUUGAUGAUAAUUGAAUCAAAUAGUGAUAAAUAGUUUAAUUACUCAAUUAAAAAUUAAUUAUUUUAAACAUGAAAUAAAUUCUUGUACUUAGCAAAAGAAAACUACCAAUCAAACUAGAAUGUAAAGGAAAAGAAUUAGAUUAUUAUAAUAGCAAAGAACUAGACCAAAAAUACAAACAACUAAUAGAUACCAUAAAAUCUUAGAAACGUUAUAUUAAAAUAUACAUAUAUAUAGGUGUAUGAAUAAAUUUAAAUAGCUUUUCUAUAGUUGGUUUGGUUCGAAUUUUUCGAUUAUUUUUUGAUUAAAAAUAAAACCAAAUCUAAAAAGUAUCGAUUUUUAUUAAAAAAACUAAUCUCAUGUAUCCCUUUCUUUAUUAUUAUAUACAUUUCAUAACAAAAUUGUCAACCCAAACGCGUCAAGUCUCAAUCCAUUGACCCUACUACUAACGGAAUAUCCAUUAUCGUUGUUCCAUAAGUUAAAAGAGUACAAAAUAACGUGGACGGCAGGAUUCGAACCUGCGCGGGCAAAGCCCACAUGAUUUCUAGUCAUGCCCGAUAACCACUCCGGCACGUCCACCUUCUGCUGAUGAAAGGAGUUUUUUCUAGUUAAUUCACUGAGAAAGUCGAAAAGUGAACACAUUCUCAGUUCCCAUCAUCAACAUCAAAAAGAGGAAUAUAACUCUCUCCUAAGCAGGAGCGAUAAACAAGCAUCAACCCUCUCUCAAACAAAGGUCAACCCAAACCCCCAAACUUUCCCCAAAAAGAAAUGCAGCAACAACCAACCCCCACCCCCACCCCCACCUCCGAUUCCGAUCUCCCCCGCCUCGCUAACAUCAAAAUCAAAUCCUCUUCCCCCCGUUUCCCACCUCCCACCACCCCUUCCACCACCGAUACCCCCACCGCUGGUGCUCAACGCAAGAUCGGCAUCGCCGUCGAUCUAAGCGACGAGUCCGCUUUCGCCGUUAAGUGGGCCGUCCAUCAGUACCUCCGUCCAGGUGACGCCGUCAUCCUUCUCCACGUCCGUCCCACUUCCGUCCUCUACGGCGCCGAUUGGGGCUCCGUUGAUCUCUCCAUCGUCGAUACCGAAAACGAAGAGUCUCAGCGAAAACUCGAGGAUGAUUUCGACACGUUUACUACUACUAAAGUCUCGGACAUAUCUCAGCCGUUAGUUGAUGCU
rnacentral:lncRNA from 1 species